rnacentral:lncRNA from 1 species
AUUGGUCUCAAAAAUAGCUAUUAAGGACCUUCAUUGAGGGCUUGAAGCCGGAGAUCCGAGGAGAAGUUAAAGCGCGACAACCGUAUACGCUUAUGGCAGCCAUCUCUUUCGCAUGAUAUCAAGAGGAGCAAUUGAACCAUGAAGCUCGGAGGACUAGGGUCGCUCCUCAACCAGUAAUAUUGAAGCCCUCAACCCCCCCUACUGUCGACCAAGUCCCUACACCAAAGAGGUUAAUAGGAGAAGAGCUUC